UAUAACCCCAAAUAUAAUAAAAAAAUGCAUGUUUUUCCGGCAUCUAAUUAUCAGAGGGCGAAUAAUCUUUUAAUGGAUGACCUAACUCUUCGGUUUGUGGCACAAAUCAACGAUAAUUUGAAAUCGAAACCAAAUAGAAGUGUCUCCUUUACGGCAAUAACAAAAUAGUUUUCAAGUCACUGGAGAAUGCUCUGAUACAGAACCAGAAGAACAAUCUGCAACUCCAAGGACAAAGCCAAGAGAUGGAAGCCUAAACACCUUGAAAAAGAUUUUUGCAGCACCUCUAAGAUUGUGAAGUGCAGGUUAAAAGUCACCUAUUCUGACACCAGU